UCUUUUUUUUUUUUUUUUUAAGUUAGGGUUCUUUCCUAGCUAAUCUCUGAGAAGCAAUCCAGAAAUUCCAACUGUCUGAGUGGUUUUGUCAGGUAUAUUAGAUUGAAGAAGAUGAAUAUGGCCUACCAAAUCUGGAAAAUUCAAGACGCAGGCUGGGUUGAUGAUGAUUUUUCUACAGUUCAUCGGGAUGGAGGGACCCGACCCGGGGCAAACUCCCGGUCUGCAGCCAUGGCGAAUACUUAUUAAGUUCUCUACUAUGGACCGCAGAAUGCUUACCUAACACUGAGUAGGAGUCUGAAUAUGGAUCUUUGAAAUUAUCACGUGUAUCUUUAAAUUGAAGUUCAUGUACCCCAAUCACAAUGAGCCUGGGUUGCUACUAUCCAAUCACUUAUCCAUCUCAGAACGAUUGAAUUGCAAGUAGAAAACUGUAGUUUUUGUUUCAAUUUCUAUUGUUUGUACUUUGAAGAUAUACUAUUAGAGUCUUUAUGACACACUACCAUUUUGA